AUAAUGCCACAUUUUUCUGUCCAACUAGGUUAUCCACGUCAGUAGGUCUCAUUUAUGUGGGACCCACAGAAACAAACCUAUUGCCUAAUAAUCAAUCACGUUUUAUGUCCCUUUUCUCAUUCUUUUGUUUAUGAUUUUUGGGUCUUAUAACUUAUUUCAAAAGCCCAAUACUAUUUUAUACAUUAGACGUGAAGUGAGGCCCAAGCCCAUUUGAAGCUUUCGUCAACCCGACAUAAACAUGCCUUCCGUCCACUCUUCGUCUUCCUAGGAGACCUAUGGGUCCUACACUUGGUCGAUUAAGUAACAAAUAUUUUAGUUGAACCUCAGUCUCAACUCAGUGUAAUUUUUGUAACUCUCUAUACUUCUUCAUCAAUAUCUAUGAAACUCUUUGUAUUCCCCCAAACUCUCCCUCUUUACUGUUACCAUCAAAACCCAAAGCGUUUCAUAACCGAUGACAGCGGGAUCACUUUCAAUAGUUGAUACAAGAGACGGGAAUUCAACAUCUGAUAUCCACUUAAAGAGUUUCUCAACCGACGAAGCUUUACUCUUUUGAAAAUGUAUUGCUGCUCAAAUCCGCUGCAGAAUGGUAAAGUUAAGUGUAACAUCAAAUUUUAUUCCAUCAAUCCCUACAGUUAAAUUAGCAAUUGGUACAUACAAAUAAUUUUCAAACUUGUUGGCCAAAUACAUCUCCUGCAAGGCUAUGUGUCUCUGACCUCAACAACGCAUUUUGAUGGUUCGUUUUCUAAUCGAAACGUAGGCCUGGGUUCGCGGGUCAACCCGCCCCGCACGACCCGCCAAUCCGCGGAUCGUUUCUUUUUUUUUAGUUAAAAUUUCGACCCGCUCAACCCGCAAAGAAAUAAACUAAUACCCGUACCCGCCCCGCUUUAUUUUGCGGGUAAUCCGCGGGACCCGCGGGUUAUAUUUUUAAUUAAAAAAUAAUUAUUUAAUUAGUUUUUCUAUAAAAUAAUAUAUUUAUAAGUAAUUUUUUAUAUUAUUUUUUAAAAAUUUAAUUAUUUUUUAAAAAAAUUAAUUAUUUUUCUAAAAAAAUCGAAUUUUUCAAAAAAAAAACGAAUUUUUCAAAAAAAAAAAAAAAUUUUAUUUUUUAUUUUAUUUUGCGGGUUGACGGGUAUCCGCAAAUCAAAAUCCACCAACCCGCACCCGCCCCGCAAAAAAUAGUCUUAACCCGCACCCGCGAAUUGAUUUUUUCAAAACGCUCGACCCGCAUCCGCCCUGCAGCGGGUCAAAUGGGGCGGGCCCCGCGGGCUUUGAUUUAAAUUCCCAGGCCUAUCGAAACGUAAGGUCCAAACUUAACUUUUCACAGGUUUCAUGCAUCUCCAUUUACUCCCUUUCUAAUAUAAUUUAUAUAUAAUCUCAUAGAACAGCUCAGUCGUCAGCCAGGAAAAUUUGAGCUAUGGCGAUAUAACCCACUCUGUCAUGCUGGUGUGAAUCCAAAAAAUAUUUGGAGCUUGCAGUUGAGGUAUUUUCCACGUGUUGAGACCAUGGAAGGGAUUAAGAAGAAAGAACUGGUGUCAAUUGGAGACCUUCCCACGUACCUCUCCAAGUGAGCGACCAGGAAGCUGAUUUCUUCUAGCAAAAUGGCUGGUCCUACAUCUCUUGCACCGAUGGCAGCAGGAAGUUGGACAAAUCCGAUACUUUGCUCCGCUGCAGUAGAUGUGUUUCACCAAACUUCACCGGGGUGUUCAGUUUAUGUCCCCACUUAACUUAACUCACUUUGUACUAGGUUUGUUUAAAAUAGCGACGCCUAGGCUAAGCUUAGGCGAGGUCAAAACUGGGGUCGUCGCCUUGAGGAAUUCAUGAAGGCGGACGCUCCAGGACGCCUCACGCCGUCUUGGACGCCUCAUGCCUCAACCCUUUCUCGAUAUUAAGGUGGCGCCUCAUGUCCUUAAAGCGAGCCUAAGCGAUCUCUAUAGCUAGAGGCGUUAUUUCACUGUUUGACCUGCUGACAAUGGCCCAGACAGUGCUACGUUUGUGGUUUUUGACACAGAGAUGACAAAACUCACCAAGAAAGAUGCAGCGACACUGGCUCUUGGGGAGUGGCGGUGAAGGAUCUGAGCUGAGCUAUCAAGAUCAGUAGAAGAGCUAGCUGGCAAGCAAUGCGUCUUUCAAGUUCGGGUAACACCAUACAAUUUCAUCCCCAACCACCAUACCUUCACCGAAGAUGUGUUCUUCAGUGUGUUCCUCAACACUCCUGUCAGAGAACAAAGAUUCAGUGAUGGAUGUCCAACCUAAACAUCCAACAGCUCUGCUAGCUACACGGGUGAUACGCCGAGGAAAGCAAUAGAAGUUGAUGAAGCAAAUCCCACCAGCUUGGGUGAUGAAGAGAAGAACCGCAAAAUACUCAGUGAUAGUUUCAAGUGCAACAAACCGUCAUCCCCACUUAGCUUUCGUGCCUUUUGAAAUGAUUCCUAUGUUUUUCCUUCUUCCAUAUUUAGUUAUCUUUUGAAUUUAUCUACAAACGAUCUACCCCUAGGAGAAAGAGUAACUUUGAUUUUUUUUUUUUGAAAAAAGAAACAUUGACGGGGAUUUGCAUAUUUGGAAAAAAGAAACUGAUGUGGAGUCAUAAAACAAGGCAGUUAUGAGACGGCUCCGAAGCAUUGCCUCAAGACAUGCUGAGAAAUUCAGCAGAGUAGCUGCAGUGUCACCAAUGGAUUACUACAACACCAUCAUUUCAUGCAAGGACCUACACAUCUCCGCUGACGACUAUGGUGUCUCCAAGCAACUAAACUUAUCCCCAAGGAAAGGACACCAUGUUGAAAUCACUUACUUCAAUCAAAGUAAUGAGGUCAGUGAUUUUUGUAUAAGAGUUGGGUAGUAUCAACAACAUAAUAAAACCCACACAUACUUUUACAGAAUUCGCAGGGAGAAACAUACAAUAUAAACACCAGAGCCACUAACUUUUUAACUUUUAUUUUCCAUAAUUUAUGUUAGGUCGGUCUUCUAAACUUACGACCCAGAGCCACCAACUUUUUAGGCUCGCUAAAAAGACUUAUCAAAAUAAACAGACGAACGAAAAACACAAAACAACGACAAUAACUAAACAAAUGCAACAUAAGAUCACAAUCCCAGCAAAAAACCAUACAAACUAUUGACAUACACUCUUCAGCACAGAACAACCACAAACAUCAUUUCGUUUUACUAAAUCCCUCACUUUCAUCUACUUCCAAACGUUAAAUGAAACAAAAAUAAUAACAUCAAACCCGCGCUCGCUCCUAGUUCGUUGCAAGUGAAAGUGGUUACUUACCACUCUAAAAUUAAUGAGGACAAUUGAUUUAUAUGUAAAGAUGAUGGCAUUUUAACAAUGAUCAUUUUUUAAUAGUAUUGAUCGAUAUAUUAUAGGUGGGCUUAAUGAUUAUGCACCAAUCAAUGGAUGACACUAUUACAGACAAGCAUUGUUACAGUAAUCCGGCCAAAAAGUUUCCAUCCAAAGCUUUUUUUUCUUUUAGAACUGAAGCUUUUAAUUAAAUGCAUAAGAGCAUUA